rnacentral:lncRNA from 1 species
UUUUGCUUAUAUUAUGUUUAAUAUUUUUUCUCAGACUAUGAAAAGAAAAUGCUAGUGGCCUUCCUUGGCAACAAGUUACAUCACAAACUAUCAUCAAAUUUAUUAAAAAGGUGUUGACAUGUGCUGAUAACCUUUAAAACAACUUUUAAAUACACUGUAAUUAUUCAAUUAAAAGAGACUCUCAGAUAAACACAACUUAAGGCCCUUACCCUGUCAAGCAUUCAUUUAAUUUGGCUUCGAAGCCAGUGUAAGAAAAAACAUUGCUUCAAUUACAAGAACAGCCCUAUCAAAUAUACCUGGAUUCCGACAUGUGACAACACCCAUGUCACAUCAGGGCCUUAACUUCAGGUUCUUUUAAUAGGAACCAAACUCUCAGUAACACCCCUGACGAGCAGAUUUUAUAUCUUCAGUGCUUUGCAUACUCCAUCCUGUCUGAAAACUUACAAUCAAUUUUAUGCAUUAAACAGGUAGGAGAACUUGGUAAGAUGCUCCCUUACCUUCUUCUAUUUUGGGGCUGUACCAAGUGAAUGACCACUCUGCAGAAGUCAGUAUACUUGGUGAAGAUUAGGCACCAUAUAUUAUUGUUUUGCCAUUCUACUAAAUUAUGGAAUAUAUAUACAUAUACAUGUAUAUAUAAUUGCAGCACAACUCUUCAUCCUUCUAGGUUCUGUGCAGCCGCCUUAAAAGAAGUAGGAAGAAACAUUCUGUGAUGUAACCUGCACCACACCCUGUGCUAUGGCAGUACUGCACUGUCCCAAAUACCUUCCUGAAGGAACAAGAAGGACCCCCCCAGACAUAUCAGAACAAUAAUGUAUCUGAUUCAUGACAGGGCCCGUAGCUGUCGCCUGUUCUUGAGUCAAGAACUAAUGCGUGCUUAAAGUUAGUUGCACUAUUAAGUGCUUUGCUGGACUCAGACCUAACAUAAUGAGGCAAAACAGACUCAGUUCUCCAUCAGUACAUGCACAACUGAAAACAAAAAAAAUGACAGCAAAUAAAGUAUUUUAUAUACCAAGUGGAAACAAUUCACAAUAACACUAAAAAACUGAAUGGGAUGUUGACAGUAUCAAGAGACUGGGACAACACUUUUGAUAACAAAAAUAAGAUGCACUAUUAAAGUGUUUCCAGCAUUUUACUAGUUUUAAUAUAAAAUGUCCCCCAAUUUGUAUAGAAAGAUUAAAAUCAUGCCCAUAUCUUCAAUUAUUCUCAUUAAGACAAUUCUCUCCACACUUACUACCAUGUUGUCAAAUUUCCUUUUCUUCCCCCCCCCACUGGUCUUCAUAAAACUUAAAUAGAAAAUAUGUUGGUUGCAUUAAGGAUCAAUUAAAAAAGUAUCAUUCAACACAUCACUUCAAAAAAAUGUGAAAGUCUCUAUUUUUACGAAAAAUUGUUGCCUACACCCCAAAAAGGACC